rnacentral:rRNA from 1 species
GAUGAACGCUGGCGGCGUGCUUAACACAUGCAAGUCGAACGGAAAGGCCAGUUCUUGCCCUGGUACUCGAGUGGCGAACGGGUGAGUAACACGUGGGUGAUCUGCCCUGUACUUCGGGAUAAGCUUGGGAAACUGGGUCUAAUACCGGAUAGGACAACUUUUUGGAUAUUGUUGUGGAAAGCUUUUGCGGUAUGGGAUGAGCUCGCGGCCUAUCAGCUUGUUGGUGGGGUAAUGGCCUACCAAGGCGUCGACGGGUAGCCGGCCUGAGAGGGUGUACGGCCACAUUGGGACUGAGAUACGGCCCAGACUCCUACGGGAGGCAGCAGUGGGGAAUAUUGCACAAUGGGCGCAAGCCUGAUGCAGCGACGCCGCGUGGGGGAUGAAGGCCUUCGGGUUGUAAACUCCUUUCGCUAGGGACGAAGCGUAAGUGACGGUACCUGGAGAAGAAGCACCGGCUAACUACGUG